rnacentral:lncRNA from 1 species
GACCAUCCCGGCCUUCCCAGAACAAUCAGACAUCUCUGGCUGCCCAUUGGAUCUCCCUGAACAGCUCUUCCAGGGCGUAAAAUCCGCUUGUGGCUCAAAUACUCACCAUGGACACGACCCUGAUCAGCUCUAUCGGACUCGCUGCUGCCCGGUUCUCGCGGCAUGGCUCUACUCCGCCUAUUCGAGCUCCGCAUUACAAGCGUACGUAGCAAAAUCCCCGCCACAAACAGAGUCGUACGACAUGCCGCUCCUGCCCGAUGACUCCGAGACCUGUGUCGACACUCUUGAAAAGGCUUUGGGAAGCAGAGGCAUGCAAUUGACGAAGCCUAAUCAGACUUGUGAUGUAGUGUACUGUUAUUGUGGCAUUAGAUUGCAUCCAUUCGUCUGCCCAGAAGCGUUUUAUGUGAAUUCGCUCGGUAAAUUGGCGGGUAAUGAGAAUGUGAAGAAAUUGCGACCAUCCCGGCCUUCCCAGAACAAUCAGACAUCUCUGGCUGCCCAUUGGAUCUCCCUGAACAGCUCUUCCAGGGCGUAAAAUCCGCUUGUGGCUCAAAUACUCACCAUGGACACGACCCUGAUCAGCUCUAUCGGACUCGCUGCUGCCCGGUUCUCGCGGCAUGGCUCUACUCCGCCUAUUCGAGCUCCGCAUUACAAGCGUACGUAGCAAAAUCCCCGCCACAAACAGAGUCGUACGACAUGCCGCUCCUGCCCGAUGACUCCGAGACCUGUGUCGACACUCUUGAAAAGGCUUUGGGAAGCAGAGGCAUGCAAUUGACGAAGCCUAAUCAGACUUGUGAUGUAGUGUACUGUUAUUGUGGCAUUAGAUUGCAUCCAUUCGUCUGCCCAGAAGCGUUUUAUGUGAAUUCGCUC